GUUGCUAUCAAGAUCAUAGAUAAGACCCAGUUGGAUGAAGAAAACUUGAAGAAGAUUUUCCGGGAAGUUCAAAUUAUGAAGAUGCUUUGCCACCCCCAUAUCAUCAGGCUCUACCAGGUUAUGGAGACAGAACGGAUGAUUUAUCUGGUGACAGAAUAUGCUAGUGGAGGGGAAAUAUUUGACCACCUGGUGGCCCAUGGUAGAAUGGCAGAAAAGGAGGCACGUCGGAAGUUCAAACAGAUCGUCACAGCUGUCUAUUUUUGUCACUGUCGGAACAUUGUUCAUCGUGAUUUAAAAGCUGAAAAUUUACUUCUGGAUGCCAAUCUGAAUAUCAAAAUAGCAGAUUUUGGUUUCAGUAACCUCUUCACUCCUGGGCAGCUGCUGAAGACCUGGUGUGGCAGCCCUCCCUAUGCUGCACCUGAACUCUUUGAAGGAAAAGAAUAUGAUGGGCCCAAAGUGGACAUCUGGAGCCUUGGAGUUGUCCUCUACGUGCUUGUGUGCGGUGCCCUGCCGUUUGAUGGAAGCACACUGCAGAAUCUGCGGGCCCGCGUGCUGAGUGGAAAGUUCCGCAUCCCAUUUUUUAUGUCCACAGAUCAUUAAUGAUUCUGAAGUACACUUUUGGCAGAGGAACAGGAGCAAAAGCUUAAUCAUGUGGUUGCAACAAAAAAGGAACAGAAGGAAAAUAGACAAAGGAAGUAGACACGCUCUUUCCAGUUUACUAUAAA
rnacentral:sRNA from 1 species